UACGAAGGGGGCUAGCGUUGCUCGGAAUCACUGGGCGUAAAGCGCACGUAGGCGGCUUCUUAAGUCAGGGGUGAAAUCCUGGAGCUCAACUCCAGAACUGCCUUUGAUACUGAGGAGCUUGAGUCCGGGAGAGGUGAGUGGAACUGCGAGUGUAGAGGUGAAAUUCGUAGAUAUUAGGAAGAACACCGGUGGCGAAGGCGGCCAUCUGGCUCGGUACUGACGCUCAGGCGCGAAAGCGUGGGGAGCAAACAGG
rnacentral:rRNA from 1 species